UUUGAAUAUUUGCCUGCACCCCAGACUUUUUUUGUUUGUUUCUUCUGAUAAUCAGUAUAUAACAACAGUACUCAUUUUAAAGUCUGUUUUGAAAUUUCCCUCCCCACCUUUCUCACCAUGGUACUACAGUGCUGCAGAUGUAGUGUUAUUGGUGCUACAGUGACUCCACAGCAGUUUCUGCAUCAAAGGAAAACAGGGCCCGAAUCAUGGCAGGAGGAAGAGCUGAAACACUAGAAACUCUCUCUGAUGCUGUUCCAGAUGUCAUAAAGACCACAGUAUAAAAAAAAACCCAACAUAAUCCUGCUUUGAAAAUUCACUGUAAAGAAAGGAAAAGACCGACUGCAUCUCUCUUGUAAUGAAAUCUUGCUUUGAGCCACAGGUCUCUGGGUGUCAAAGUAACUACUGAAGGAGCUUUCCUUUCAUGAAGAGAAAAACUUCAUCUCGGUAUGAAUGAUAUGUAUCCCCUAUUGUAUUGGAGGAUGAGAAAUCUGUGACAAAGCCCAUGCCUUUGGUGGUGCCCUGUCUACUAUGGAUCCCAGGAUAAACCCAGCAGGAGACAUGCUUUUGGCACUCUUAGUUGCCUCUGAAAGACACCUUCAGCUCACUUCCAAGCUACUUGCUUUCAAUGGCUUUGAUAAGAAUUCCUGGGAGAAUGAAGGAAGCACUUUCUUUUUGGAUACCACCUGAGGACCUUGCCUAUACCUUCUUACUGGUUUAAGAGUAAAAAUUGAUCCUGUUGCAAAUAUGUAGUUUUCUUCUGAUAAUUAUGAGAAAAUUAUUAUCUCCUUUAUGUCUGGAAAGUCCAACAUACUAGAGGUUAUUAAUACACAUUUGAUAGAAGAACCUUGCAGAACCAGCUUACAGCACUGGUUUGGGCUUUACUACAGUAUCUUACUAUAAAAAAAUCUGUUCUUUAUGUACUUCUGACAAGCCAAUUCAGUGCUGAACAUAAAGAACAUGGAUGAACUUCUCAUUCUGCAGAAAUUGCCACUAAUUUAAAUCAAAUGCCAGAAUUUGAUCCUGGAUUAGCCAGCAGUCUUGUUUUUAUGUAUGCUUUUGUUGCAGGGAAUGAAAAUAUGAUUUGAGAGCACUAAUAGCAACUGCCUUAGAUAAAAGCACAAGUGAUUACCUAGAGAAGAGUUGAGCUGCCUACCUGGAAAACGUGUUGUUUAAAGAGUUGUUUUCACACCCACAUUCAUCCAUUUAGCCCAAAGCAUCAGAGUCAUCCAAGCUCUGAGAUCUGGAGCAAUGAUUUCAAGUUUUCACUUUUUUGAGCCAG
ensembl:lncRNA